rnacentral:lncRNA from 1 species
GGGCUCUGAGGAUCCGGCCUCACCUCUCCACGGGGUCGACGGGAACGUCUCCGGAUGCCAGGAGUCGCAAAGGGCCGACCACGAUGAGGAAACCCCAGGCUGGGACGGGGGAAGCAGCACGGGAUCCCAGCCUCAGGCCUGCCCGGACGGUGUUGGUUGGGAGACGAGGUCUCACUAUAUUGACCAGGCUGGUCUUGAACUCCUGGCCUUAAGCGAUCCUCCUGCCUUGGCCUCCCAAAGUGCUGGAGUUACAGAUGUGAGCCUCUGUGCUCAGUCCAUCCUUGGCUGUUCAAGUGUAGAGGGCUAACACCAUACUCAAUGAUGAAAACCUGAAAACUUUCCCUAAGAUCAAGAACAAGGCGGGGCGGUUCCAAGAUGGCCGAAUAGGAACAGCUCCAGUCUAAGCUCCCAGCAUAAGUGAUGGAGAAGAUGGGUGAUUUCUGCAUUUCCAACUGAGCCUGAAGAGCUUCCUUUAGGAUUUCUUGUGAGACAAGUCAGCUUUUAUUUGUCUGGAAAAGUCUUUAUCUCACUUUUAUUUGUGAAGAACUGCUUUGGCAGAGAGUUCUCCCAGUCUCCUGGAUCACACUGGUCGGAAAGCUGUUUGGUAGACAACCUUCGAGUCUUUCUGCCUUCAUACUGUGGGUAUACCGUUCUCCCAACUGAAAACCCGUUUAUUUUCUUAUCUGUCUACUCAAAGCCUAACCAACACCAAAUGGCCUAGAAAUGCCACGUACCUACCAGUUGCCUCUUUCCUCCUCCAGCCCUUGUGAAUGUGAAUUCACAUCUCUGUUCUCUGUGUUCCUUGGCCACUUAGUACCAUUCACAAUAUCUCUCAUAGCUAGCUCUCUGCCUUAGGGCUGGCCCAUGGGACUAAAAUUCCUUGUGGUAGGUAUUUUUUUUUCAUAUUUCUAUUCUUAUAGCAUCUAGCAUAGAACAAACAGCCUAGUAUCUAGUGGGUAUCCAAUAACAACUUAUGCAGGUGAUUAGGCAAGAAAAAGAAAUAAAGCCUAUUCAAAUUGGAAAGGUGGAAGUCAAAUUGUCCCUAUUUGCUGGCAACAUAAUCUUAUAUAUAGAAGAACUUAAACACUCUGCCAAAAAUCCAUUAGAUGUGAUAAACAAUUCAGUAAGGUUGUAUUGUAUGUAUCAAAACAUCCCUAUGUAACCCAUAGAGAUGUAUAAUUAUUUUAUGUUGAUCAAAAAUAAAAUAAUAAAAGCUCUUAAUAAAACA